GGCGGCAGGCCUAACACAUGCAAGUCGAGCGGAAACGAGUUAACUGAACCUUCGGGGAACGUUAACGGCGUCGAGCGGCGGACGGGUGAGUAAUGCCCUGGGAAAUUGCCCUGAUGUGGGGGAUAACCAUUGGAAACGAUGGCUAAUACCGCAUAAUAGCUUCGGCUCAAAGAGGGGGACCUUCGGGCCUCUCGCGUCAGGAUAUGCCCAGGUGGGAUUAGCUAGUUGGUGAGGUAAGGGCUCACCAAGGCGACGAUCCCUAGCUGGUCUGAGAGGAUGAUCAGCCACACUGGAACUGAGACACGGUCCAGACUCCUACGGGAGGCAGCAGUGGGGAAUAUUGCACAAUGGGCGCAAGCCUGAUGCAGCCAUGCCGCGUGUAUGAAGAAGGCCUUCGGGUUGUAAAGUACUUUCAGCAGUGAGGAAGGUUCAUACGUUAAUAGCGUAUGGAUUUGACGUUAGCUGCAGAAGAAGCACCGGCUAACUCCGUG
rnacentral:rRNA from 1 species